rnacentral:piRNA from 1 species
UCAGAUAAGUAGUUCCUUACC